rnacentral:rRNA from 1 species
CCUACGGGAGACAGCAGUGGGGAAUAUUGCACAAUGGGGGAAACCCUGAUGCAGCGACGCCGCGUGUGUGAAGAAGUAUUUCGGUACGUAAAGCACUAUCAGCAGGGAAGAAAAUGACGGUAUUUGUCACAGAAGCACCGGCUAACUACGUGACAGCAGCCGCGGUCAUACGUAGGGGGCAAGCGUUAUCCGGAUUUACUGGGUGUAAAGGGAGCGUAGACGGCAGGGCAAGUCUGGAGUGAAAUCCCAUGGCUUAACCAGGGAACUGCUUUGGAAACUGUGCAGCUGGAGUGCAGGAGAGGGAAGCAGAAUUCCUAGUGUAGCGGUGAAAUGCGUAGAGAUUAGGAGGAACACCAGUGGCGAAGGCGGCUUACUGGACGGUAACUGACGUUGAGGCUCGAAAGCGUGGGGAGCAAACAGGAUUAGAUACCCUUGUAGUC